UACGGAGGGGGCGAGCGUUAUUCGGAAUUAUUGGGCGUAAAGGGCGCGUAGGCGGCUUCAUAAGUCAAAGGUGAAAUCCCUCGGCUCAACUGAGGAACUGCCUUUGAAACUGUGGAGCUUGAGGCCGGGAGGGGGUAGCGGAAUUCCCAGUGUAGCGGUGAAAUGCGUAGAUAUUGGGAGGAACACCAGUGGCGAAGGCGGGUCUCUGGACAGUUCCUGACACUGAGGCACGAAGGCCAGGGGAGCAAACGGG
rnacentral:rRNA from 1 species